rnacentral:rRNA from 1 species
CAGCCGCCGCGGUAAUACAGAGGGUGCGAGCGUUAAUCGGAUUUACUGGGCGUAAAGCGUGCGUAGGCGGCUUUUUAAGUCGGAUGUGAAAUCCCUGAGCUUAACUUAGGAAUUGCAUUCGAUACUGGGAAGCUAGAGUAUGGGAGAGGAUGGUAGAAUUCCAGGUGUAGCGGUGAAAUGCGUAGAGAUCUGGAGGAAUACCGAUGGCGAAGGCAGCCAUCUGGCCUAAUACUGACGCUGAGGUACGAAAGCAUGGGGAGCAAACAGGAUUAGAUACCCGGGUAGUCCCUGUCUCUUAUAA